UGGGGAAUUUGGACAAUGGGCGAAAGCCUGAUCCAGCAAUGCCGCGUGUGUGAAGAAGGCCUUCGGGUUGUAAAGCACUUUUGUCCGGAAAGAAAUCCUUGGCUCUAAUACAGUCGGGGGAUGACGGUACCGGAAGAAUAAGCACCGGCUAACUACGUGCCAGCAGCCGCGGUAAUACGUAGGGUGCAAGCGUUAAUCGGAAUUACUGGGCGUAAAGCGUGCGCAGGCGGUUUGCUAAGACCGAUGUGAAAUCCCCGGGCUCAACCUGGGAACUGCAUUGGUGACUGGCAGGCUAGAGUAUGGCAGAGGGGGGUAGAAUCCCACGUGUAGCAGUGAAAUGCGUAGAGAUGUGGAGGAAUACCGAUGGCGAAGGCAGCCCCCUGGGCCAAUACUGACGCUCAUGCACGAAAGCGUGGGGGAGCAAACAGGAUUAGAUACCCUGGUAGUCCACGCCCUAAACGAUGUCAACUAGUUGUUGGGGAUUCAUUUCCUUAGUAACGUAGCUAACGCGUGAAGUUGACCGCCUGGGGAGUACGGUCGCAAGAUUAAAACUUAAAGGAAUUGACGGGGUCAUAGCUGUUUCCU
rnacentral:rRNA from 1 species